AUGAGGAAAGAUGAGAAUCUUCAAAUAUUCCCUGUUGUUCCUCCUUUUCCAGUUGAGUGCCAGCACAUCUUGCUCAGUUCCAUCAUCCCAGAGGACAGACUCCGGAGGCCUCCAUCCAGAAACCAGAGCCAGGAAAAGAAUGUAACAACCAGAGACUUGGGUUCAGAACCUACUACGUGUGGCGUACACCCAAGCCCCCAGAUGUCAGCCGGAGCGAAGCUGGGCCCAGUGUAUUCCUCCUCAGGAAAGUGGAAUUGUAGAAGUUUGUUUCUGGAACUAUAACAUGUAAACUUUAGAAUUAUAAGCUUUCUGAGGCAUGUAUACUCCACCGUUUGAGCUGUGCAAUAAAGAAAGUCACUCCUAAAAGAAAGAAAAUGAA
rnacentral:lncRNA from 1 species